ACCCUGUGUUGUUUUCAACGCAGAGAUUGUCCAGGCGCCGGAUCUGAGACAGUACUUAUCACAUCGGUACGACUGGGUCUCAGCCGGUCAGCUCAUGGGUGGAACAUUGACAUUGGUGCGGAGCCGAACGGCUCGAACUUAGUACGCCUGCUUGCAGGAAGGAACAGUUCGGACCGGGGAGCCUCGCACAUGCACGCUGUUGGGUCCUGAGGGACCGGACCUCAUCGCUGUGUCUUCAAGACGCUGAGAUGAGAACCGAAUCCUCUGGACCUUUUUUGGUCGGCCAUAACUGGGCCGGCGGAAAAGGUACCGCCCGUACUUUGAGAACUACACAGUGGACGCGAGCAUCUUAGAUUCGGACCUUCGGGUUCGGAUCACAAAAGAUGAUCAUAGUACUUUCGAGUACUGAUUAGAUCAUUGGUCAAUCUGCUCACUUCG
rnacentral:misc_RNA from 1 species